GACGAACGCUGGCGGCGUGCUUAACACAUGCAAGUCGGGCGGUAAGGCCCUUUCGGGGGUACACGAGCGGCGAACGGGUGAGUAACACGUGGGUGACCUGCCCUCAGCUCUGGGAUAAGCCUGGGAAACCGGGUCUAAUACUGGAUAUGACUCCAUGACGCAUGUUGUGGGGUGGAAAGCCUUGUGCGGCUGAGGAUGGGCCCGCGGCCUAUCAGCUUGUUGGUGGGGUGAUGGCCUACCAAGGCGACGACGGGUAGCCGGCCUGAGAGGGCGACCGGCCACACUGGGACUGAGACACGGCCCAGACUCCUACGGGAGGCAGCAGUGGGGAAUCUUGCGCAAUGGGCGAAAGCCUGACGCAGCGACGCCGCGUGAGGGAUGACGGCCUGG
rnacentral:rRNA from 1 species